UACGGAAGGCAGCAGUGGGGAAUAUUGCACAAUGGGCGCAAGCCUGAUGCAGCCAUGCCGCGUGUAUGAAGAAGGCCUUCGGGUUGUAAAGUACUUUCAGUCGUGAGGAAGGUGUUAAGGUUAAUAACCUUAGCAAUUGACGUUAGCGACAGAAGAAGCACCGGCUAACUCCGUGCCAGCAGCCGCGGUAAUACGGAGGGUGCGAGCGUUAAUCGGAAUUACUGGGCGUAAAGGGCACGCAGGCGGUUAAUUAAGUUGGAUGUGAAAUCCCCGGGCUUAACCUGGGAAUGGCAUUCAAGACUGGUUAGCUAGAGUCUUGUAGAGGGGGUAGAAUUCCAUGUGUAGCGGUGAAAUGCGUAGAGAUGUGGAGGAAUACCGGUGGCGAAAGGCGGCCCCUGGACAAAGACUGACGCUCAUGUGCGAAAGCGUGGGGAGCAAAAC
rnacentral:rRNA from 1 species